ensembl:lncRNA
GGGGAGGAUUCCCUUGUUUUGGGGAGAAUUCCCUUAUUUUGGGAAGGCUCCGCUGCCGUUUUCAGUCUGGGAAGGGAGCUUGAAAUUUUGGGGAGGAUUCCCCUCGUUUUGGGGAGGCUCCGCUGCUGUUUUCAGUCUGCGAGGGGAGCUCCCAGUUUUGGGGAGGAUUCUUUGAUUCUGGCGAGGUUCUGCUGCUGUUUUCAGUCCGGGAAGAGAGCUUGGAAUUUUGGGGAGGAUUCUUUGAUUCUGGUGAGGCUCUGCUGCCGUUUUCACCCCUACUUUGGGGCAAAUUCCCUUGUUCUGGGGCAACCCCACCACUAUUUUCACUCUUAUUUUGGGGCAAAUUCCCUUGUUCCGGGGCAACCCCGCCACCAUUUUCACUCUUAUUUUGGGGCAGAUUCCCUCGUUCUGGGGCGCCCCCGCCGCCGUUUUCGCUCUUCUUUUGGGGCAAAUUCCCUCGUUUUGGGGUGCCCCUGCUGCUGUUUUCGCCCUUACUUUGGGGCCAAUUCCCUUGUUCUGGGGAGAUUUCUCUCAUUUUGGGGAGGCUCUGCUGGUUUUCAGGAGGCGAGGGGAGCUCUCAAUUUUGGGGAGGAUUCUUUGAUUCUUUUAUUCCGGUGAGGGUCUGCUGCCGUUUUCAGUCUCACUUUGGGGCAAAUUCCCUCGUUCUGGGGCAACCCCGCCACCAUUUUCACUCUUAUUUUGGGGAAAAUUCCCUCGUUCUGGGGUGCCCCCACCGCCGUUUUCGCUUUUAUUUUGGGGACGAUUCAUUUUGGGGACGCUCUGCUGUGGUUUUCAGUCUGCGAGGGGAGCUCCCAAUUUUGGGGAGGAUUCUUUGAUUCUGGCGAGGCUCUGCUGCCAUUUUCAGUCCGGGAAGAGAGCUUGGAAUUUUGGGGAGGAUUCUCUGAUUCUGGUGAGGGUCUGCUGCCGUUUUCAGCCCUACUUUGGGGCAAAUUCCCUCAUUCCAGGACAACCCCACCGCCAUUUUCGCUCUUACUUUGGGGCAAAUUCCCUUGUUCUGGGGAGAUUUCUCUCAUUUUGGGGAGGCUCUGCUGGUUUUCAGGAGGCGAGGGGAGCUCUCAAUUUUGGGGAGGAUUCUUUGAUUCUGGUGAGGGUCUGCUGCCGUUUUCAGCCCUACUUUGGGGCAAAUUCUCUCAUUAUGGGACAACCCCGCUGCCGUUUUCACUUUUAUUUUGGGGACGAUUCAUUUUGAAGAGGCUCUGCUGUGGUUUUCAGUCUGCGAGGGGAGCUCUCAAUUUUGGGGAGGAUUCUUUGAUUCUUUUAUUCUGGUGAGGGUCUGCUGCCGUUUUCAGUCUCACUUUGGGGCAAAUUCCCUCGUUCUGGGGCAACCCCUCCACCGUUUUCGCUCUUAUUUUGGGGCAGAUUCCCUUGUUCCGGCGCACCCCCGCCGCCGUUUUCGCUCUUAUUUUGGGGCAAAUCCCCUCGCUCCGGGGUUGCCGGGGGGGGCAGCUCGAAGGCGUAGGCGAUGAUGUCGGCGCAGCGCAGCAGCGCGGCCGCCUGCAGCCCCAGGGGGGUGCGCAGGGCGUCCACCUGGAAGGCGAGGGGGGCGGCGUCGGCGGCCGCCACCACGGCCCCCACCCGCACGCGCUCGUGCAGGGCGAAGCUCACCGGCAGCCCCCGCAUGGCCGCCAGGCUCCGCAGGUAGCGGCGUCGCAGGGCCGCCCGCGCCGCCUGGGGGGGGGACGAGGACGGUUUUUGUCCGUCCGUCGUCCCCCCCCCCCAGCAGCAGGGCGCGGAAGCGGGGCGACGCGGGGCUGAAGCCGCGGCUCGAGCCCUCGGGGCCGUGCGGCAGGCGCAGGACGCUCACCGGUACCGCCA